AUAAUUACCUGCACGGUGUUGAUGGGCGAUCAAGAAGGUUCAUGGCUUAGGUAGGUAUCAUCCAUUGCACUUUGGAGGGGUGCCUCCCUAUGGCCUCCCCAUGUGGGAGAGCCAACGUUGUAAUUUGCUGCAGCGGAGGCCUGCGUUCACGGAGCCCUGCC